rnacentral:tRNA from 1 species
GGGGAUAUAACUCAGUUGGUAGAGUGCUUGCCUUGCAUGCAUAAAAGGCCCUGGGUUUAAUCCCCAGCACCA